rnacentral:rRNA from 1 species
UACAUGGGGGUGCAAACGUUGCUCGGAAUUAUUGGGCGUAAAGCGCACGUAGGCGGUUCGUUUAAGUCGGAUGUGAAAAGCCCCUCGGCUCAACUGAGGAAGUGCACCCCGAAAACUGGCGAGCUUGAGUACGAAAAGAGGAUCGCGGAAUUCCCGGUGUAGAGGUGAAAAUUCGUAGAUAUCUGGAGGAACACCGGUGGCGAAGGCGGCAUCCUGGACCGGCAUUGACGCUGAGGGCGCGAAAAGCCAGGGG